CGUACACGUUUGCGUGUAUUUAGUGUACGGUCAAAUCGGGGGCGUAACACGCUUAUCCAAAGGUUUUUCUUUUAGUGAAUGAUAAAGACAAAAGUCAAAAGGAUUGCCUGAAGAUGAUGCAUAAUCUCAUUCAUGAAAAUGUACUGGGAGUGAAGUUCUGGGAAGAGGUCCAAGAUGAACCAUACAUCCGGGUUUACGUAGAGCCAUACACUGCAUUUGUUUCAGAGCUUCUUAAGAAUGCUGAAUUUGCUGUGAAUCCAGCAACACACUCGGUUCCAUCUCGGGAUUUUUGAAAAAUGGUGUGGGCAGCAAUAAAUGCCUUGGAUUACAUUAGAGAGAGUGGUAAUUACCAUGGCAACUUUUCAUGGAGAACUACGCUUUAUCAUGAGGCGAAUGGCAACAUUGUAGUCAAGUUAGCAUACUUUGAAAGGAAAAAGUCCAAAACUCUGUUGCAAUGUCAAGCUGAAGAUUGCGUCUCUCUCGGAGCCUCUCUUGAGGCGGUAUCUCAACAUGUGAGGAAUAAUUAUGCUGAUUUCCAUAAUCAAACUUGUUGCUUAAUUGAUGAUCUUGCAAGCAAGCUGAAGUCUGUUACCGAGUUUUCGGUUGGUACAGCAAAACAUGAUCUUGAAGAUCAUGAUUUCUUUUGGGAUGAGAAAAGGACAAAGAUGUUCUUUGCCUAUGAGGUACCCAAGAUUUUUAAGAAAUAGGGAGUUAAGAAUAGAUUUAGGGCGCUUCCAACUUGUCCAACGCUCCCAUGGAAAACAAAAUGGUCACCUGAUCGAUUAUCUGACCCAAUUCUGAUCGAGAUGGAGAAGUAUCGUGCAAAACAUGGUCUUGGAAAGUACAAUGAAAAUAAUUUCGAAGACUUUUUAAGAUUUAUAAGCGGGAUGUACACACAUGAAAAUUUACUCAGGAAGGAGAUUCAAAACCUCGUCGUUGAUGCAGAAGUUCGCGUGAGGUUUCCUCGUCUAUCUUAUGAUUUAAAUGCUAUCAUACGGGCUGCUGCGUAAGGUCUGAUGUUGCUGGCCUUGAGGAGUAUCAGAGAGACCACAUGAGGAUGCCAAGCUUGUAGGAGUGCGUGUAGUUGAUGUUGGAGUCAUGAAGGAAACACUGAAUCAAGGCGCUGUCGGUGCAGCUGAAAUUUAAGCUGUUUGUAUCUGUAUUCUGUAGCACAAUGUUCCAGCAUGGCAGUGAUGUUGCCUAGUUUAAUUCAGACGCCUAGCAUGGCAGUGAUGUUGCCUAGUUUAAUUCAGAUGCCUAGCAUGGCAGUGAUGUUGCCUAGUUUAAUUUAGAGGUGGAGCAUGAUAAGUCGAACUGUGAUGUUGCCUAGUUUACCUGUAGUUGUAACUGUAAUCUCGGAUGCUGUGGAUCUGCUGUUUUAGUUGCUUGCAGAAGACACUUUGAAUAUUAUUAUGA